UGUAUAUAUACCGGAUAAAAAGAAAAAUAAGCUUUCAACACAUUAGCUCAAUACAGUACAAGAUGCGUACACUUUUAUUUUCCUGUGUUCUGUGUUUGCUCUUAGCAACAACAGCUGGACAACUUGGAAACUUAGGGAACUUGGGGAACCUAGCACGCGCAGGAAUAGGAUUAUCCUUACUCGACAGUUUUUUGGGGGGAGAUGGAGGAGGAGGCGCUGGGUUUGAUGGAGGUUCUGGUACAACUUUUGAACGAGUAAACCUUAUAAUUCCAGAUGAUCAAGAUGACUUUGGUGGACAAGACGACUUCUUUGGUGGACAAGACUUCUUUGGUGGACAAGACGAUUUUUUUUAGUGGACCAUGUUGAUGUCUUCUAAGUACUUUCAGUACACUUUGGUGACAACCAUAAAGGCCAUGAGAAAACACGGAAUAACUACCACGAAUAAAAUUUUGUUAAAAUGUGA